CUUUUGCUGCGUACCUGAGGCCUUCUGAAGUGAAAUAAACUUCUGGAUAAUCAGCACAGCCAGAGGAAAAGAGUCAAAAGUCAGGAAAGAGCUCCUCAAAUGUGUCAGAUGAAUGGGAGAUGGAAUAUAAAAGUACAUAUACAUCUUCUUUGCAUUGCUAUCUAACAGUUCACCAACCCCAGCUCCUGCUUGGUUUGUAAAGCUCCUAGACUCUCCUCCUUUUUGGCAGAACUGAGUGAAGUUGGCCGUGAGUACACCAACCAGAUCUGCAACAUCUUUCCUCACUGGGUGGGAUUUAGAUGGCUGUGUUCAAGACUGCUUCUGACAUGGUGCUCUGUUCUGCUGUGAAAACAGCUGUGUUAUGAGAAUUCUUAUCUGGGGCUAUGGACAUAUCCUGCUGACCCUGAUCUUGCCUUGCUGUUGGGACCUUCUGACUGGACCUCAGAUAUGCUCCAUCAUUGCAGACUCUUUCGGUGACUAAUGCCACAUGAAUCUGUUUACUGCUCUGCUGCUCUUGUUCCUGCACAUGAAUCUUACCCCUUUGGCUUGGAGGAUGCUGCCCCACUGCCACCCUUGGUCCUCUACUUAUCUUCCCUUAUAGAGUAGCCUGCUCCAUAGUUGCUUUAGGGACAUGGUUUAGUGGGCAUGGUGGUGAUGGAAUAGAUGAUCUUAGAGGUCUGUUUCCACCUAUGAUUCCCUGAUGGGGAGUUUAAUUCUGAUCAAUCUUAGUUUUAUGUCCUGGCUCAAGUGUUUUUACUAUAAUUUAGGACCUUCUUUCAAAAGGAGAAAAAGUGUCCUUCUUGGAGGUGCUGAAAGCCUUUUCUCUGAGUUCCUCGAGACUCUUAUAACAUGAAAAAGGUUUACUUUCUCCCAGAAGUUCUAGAACCUGACUGAUUCUAACUAUUGUCAGUGCAUGGUAAUAAGGCACAUUCUCGCUAUAGCAAGAAGGGCUGCAAACACAUUUGACAAUUAAGAAUCAGCGAGGAAGAGGGACCUGGGCAUGAAGCUGUGCUCUGAAAAUAGUGAAGCAAAAUUUUGCUUUCUGCGUUUGCUAAUCCCAAUUGCUGAAAUAGAAAGAAUGCAAUCUUAUGGAAACAAAAAUUCAAAUUAUCCUCCCCUUUUCCUAGAAACCACUCAUAGAGAUCAAGCCCUGCUCUAAUUUAGAGAACUGUCUGUGUAAUGGUGCAGGCUGUGAAGAACACUUGCCGAGUCUUGCACUUCUCAGGCAUGAUCAAAUUACUUCGUGUUUGUCUUUCUAUAUAAUAACGUCCUUGCUACAUUUCCCUGCUGCUUGGCUAUUUGUCGAUAAUUUUUUUCAGCCCUAAAAACAGGGAGAGAAAAUAACCUAUUCAUUAACUAUAUCAUUGCAGAAUAAGUGCCAAUCCUUGACUGCAGUCUAGACGAGGUAAUAGCUGGAAAGGUGUUGUAUCAGAUCUGUUAUUUGGGCUCUUGACUCAAAUUGUUUGGCUAAACAGCUGUUCAUGGGUUUAGUCACAAAAAAGACUAAAAAAUAAAAUGAAAUUCAAAAGGUAGUCCAUGCUAGGACAGGAAGAAAAAUAAAUCCACAAAUUUUGAAUAAUCUGUGCUGCUUUAUAUUCUGUCUUUGCUCUGGCAACAGUCUCAAAGUUAAUCACCUAUUUAUAUUCCAGUUUUUCACACAUCAUUUCAACAAUAUUGUUAGUAGGUUUACCUUUGAUGCUCUUUUUAGCUGCUUACCAUUUCUGAAUACCCAUAAAAUGGCUUUCAGAGAGCUAGCUGCAAAUUAUAAUGCUGUAGGCAUACUGUUCAGAAAGAAAGCAUGGUCAAGGAAGGUAGUGCUACAAUUUCUUGAAGGGAUUUUUCAAUAGGUUUCGAGUUAGGUCAGGCUAAACAUUUCACUCCCUUUUUCCUUGACUGAAGCCAACAUUUUUAUUAUUAGAUGCCUCAAGGAAUUGUUCUGCACUGGGGGGGAAAGAAGGCAUGGUUCUUUGAUGCACAGGGAAAAAAAAAAAAGGAAUGUCAUGUUGGCUGAGACUCAUUAAUCGUUCUACUUUUCAGUUUUUUGUAACUUUGCAGUGUGUUUGGGGAAGAUGGGACAUCGGAAAGAAAAGCAUCUGGGCACAGCUAGUGGCAUUGUGUUCAGUGUCUGCAUUUUAGGUGAAUGAGUUUGUUGCAACAGAACAAUAAAAAGUUCACAAUGAGAUCAGAACAUCUCGGCCUCCAGUCAUCUGAACACCAAUGCAUUAAAAAAUGUAUAUUGAAUUUAUAGAAUAUGUCUAUAUGUACUGAAAGAAUAAGGCAGAUUGCAAAGUAGAAUAAAGAUGUGCUUUGGCCACAACUGGAGUUUCACUUACACUGCAAGGCUUCCAGCUAGAUUUAUGUAGGCAAGAGCCCCCAAUAAGGAACAAAACAAAACGCGCUUAUAUGAUCUUGACCAUCAGCAUCCAGAUAUUUUUAAAUGAGGCUACAUUCCCUGUCAUCUGAGGACCUUCCAGUAGAGCAUGAAGAAAUGUGACUAACAUCUGUCACAACUUUUUCUUCUCAUACUUCUAAAUCUUGCGCAUGGGUGUCAUGGAAUAAUCAGUGAGGUAGAACACAGAAUUCAUUUCAGGUUUAGACUCUCUAUGUAAUCCAUGGAGAUUUGGGGGACACGUGCCUAAGGGAUCCAUGCAAGCCAGCUGGCUGGCUCAGCUAGGCAGCUAGCUUACCUAAUAAAAAAAGUGAAGAUGUCUGUCUUACAUUUUGCUGUCUUCAGAGACUGGACGCUUUAUCCUAAUACAGAGGAGGGCACCUGGCUUCCUUCAGGCUUCUGUAUCUCUCUCAGGGUCAAGUGCCAAAAGCGGUGUCUUGGAGAAUGAAGGGAACAGAGACAAAGAUUAUAUAUGAUGGUGCAGUUACUGAAGUGGGAUAUUCUUUUUCAGCCCUCUCCUGAUACAAUUCUUAGAAAGCAUAUUUUGACCAUUGGGCAAAUUAGACCAAUGAUCUAAAAGACCAUUAUCUUUUAGGAGUAAAUUCCAUUUCUCCUUUUACACUAGCUACUCUUCUUGUUACACUACAAAAGAAAGAAGGAACGUGCCACUAGCUUACUGAUUUAGACAUCUGGGCGGGACACUAUCCACAUUUCAAUGAGAAAGCAGUCUAAACAGUCUUUUGAGUCCUGGUUGAGUGCUGCAGUGAACACCUCUCCUACUUGUUUGAUAUUUUAAAUAGUUCUUUCUUCCUAUUAAAUCCUGUACACUGAUGUUCUUAGAUAAUUUUCAUACUCUUAUCUCUCAUGAGGCUCUUUUAAUAGUCUUCUUUAUGAUAACCUCUCUUUUUCUUAUAAUUCUAAAAGAUCUUUCUAGCAUCUCUUCCAGUUUGAAUUCACUUUCCUUUAACAUGCAUAAGGCAAAGUGAGAUACUAUCAACACAAGCUUCUUCUCUUGCUGGAAGCAUUCUAAGAUUUAUUUGUUUUAUGAUAGAGAGCCAGGAUCUUGUUUAUAUAUAUAUAUAUAUGUCCAAGUUGAACUACAUCAGCAUGCAGCAUUUAUUGAAUUGGAUGUCUUUUAGCUUGGGGAUCUCCAGUGUCAUCUGUUUUCCUCACAGUGGGUAAAGCUGCAGCACGGUUGUGAUUUGCCUCGUAUCUGUCAAGACCCUGAAAAAUAAAAAUAUGAAUUAUUUAGU
ensembl:lncRNA